AGUUCAAAGAUGAUUGGGAUAAAAAAACUGAACCGCAAGGCAAAGCAAGGGUUGUUUGUGAUGAAGAUUUAACUUUAAAGGACAAAAGCAAGUUUGAGACGGAUCUGGACAAAUUUUUGAUACCCAAGAACAAGUCCCAUGUUGAUCCUACAGGGAAAACAAAUGUUGUUUUUUCUGAACCGAGUCUGUGCUCCACAUUUGUUUCUGAUGCCAUUCCGAAAUAUACAGUUGAUGUUGCUCAAAGUGUUUUGCCGAGAAAGAGGAAGGU